CCUACGGGAGGCAGCAGUGGGGAAUAUUGCACAAUGGGGGAAACCCUGAUGCAGCGACGCCGCGUGAGUGAAGAAGUAUUUCGGUACGUAAAGCUCUAUCAGCAGGGAAGAAAAUGACGGUACCUGACUAAGAAGCCCCGGCUAACUACGUGCCAGCAACCGCGGUAAUACGUAGGGGGCAAGCGUUAUCCGGAUUUACUGGGUGUAAAGGGAUCGUAGACGGCAGCGCAAGUCUGGAGUGAAAUCCCAUGGCUUAACCAUGGAACUGCUUUGGAAACUGUGCAGCUAGAGUGCAGGAGAGGUAAGCGGAAUUCCUAGUGUAGCGGUGAAAUGCGUAGAUAUUAGGAGGAACACCAGUGGCGAAGGCGGCUUACUGGACUGUAACUGACGUUGAGGCUCGAAAGCGUGGGGAGCAAACAGGAUUAGAUACCCGUGUAGUC
rnacentral:rRNA from 1 species